UUGGGAAUAUUGGACAAUGGACGAAAGUCUGAUCCAGUGACGCCGCGUGAAGGAAGAAGGUCUUCGGAUUGUAAACUUAUUUUAUUGGGGAAGAAACAAAUGACAGUACCCAAAGAAGAAGGACCGGCAAACUACGUGCCAGCAGCCGCGGUAAUACGUAGGGUCCAAGCGUUAUCCGGAUUUACUGGGUGUAAAGGGCGAGUAGACGGCGUUAUAAGUCAGAUGUGAAAACUUGGGGCUCAACCCCAAGACUGCAUCUGAAACUAUAAUGCUAGAGUGCAGGAGAGGAAAGUGGAAUUCCUAGUGUAGCGGUGAAAUGCGUAGAUAUUAGGAGGAACACCAGUGGCGAAGGCGACUUUCUGGACUGUAACUGACGUUGAGGCGCGAAAGUGUGGGGAGC
rnacentral:rRNA from 1 species